rnacentral:rRNA from 1 species
AUUCUGGCUCAGGAUGAACGCUGGCGGCGUGCUUAACACAUGCAAGUCGAACGGGAUCCAUCAGGCUUUGCCUGGUGGUGAGAGUGGCGAACGGGUGAGUAAUGCGUGACCGACCUGCCCCAUACACCGGAAUAGCUCCUGGAAACGGGUGGUAAUGCCGGAUGCUCCAGUUGAUCGCAUGGUCUUCUGGGAAAGCUUUCGCGGUAUGGGAUGGGGUCGCGUCCUAUCAGCUUGACGGCGGGGUAACGGCCCACCGUGGCUUCGACGGGUAGCCGGCCUGAGAGGGCGACCGGCCACAUUGGGACUGAGAUACGGCCCAGACUCCUACGGGAGGCAGCAGUGGGGAAUAUUGCACAAUGGGCGCGAAUAAGCACCGGCUAACUACGUGCCAGCAGCCGCGGUAAUACGUAGGGUGCAAGCGUUAUCCGGAAUUAUUGGGCGUAAAGGGCUCGUAGGCGGUUCGUCGCGUCCGGUGUGAAAGUCCAUCGCUUAACGGUGGAUCCGCGCCGGGUACGGGCGGGCUUGAGUGCGGUAGGGGAGACUGGAAUUCCCGGUGUAACGGUGGAAUGUGUAGAUAUCGGGAAGAACACCAAUGGCGAAGGCAGGUCUCUGGGCCGUUACUGACGCUGAGGAGCGAAAGCGUGGGGAGCGAACAGGAUUAGAUACCCUGGUAGUCCACGCCGUAAACGGUGGAUGCUGGAUGUGGGGCCCGUUCCACGGGUUCCGUGUCGGAGCUAACGCGUUAAGCAUCCCGCCUGGGGAGUACGGCCGCAAGGCUAAAACUCAAAGAAAUUGACGGGGGCCCGCACAAGCGGCGGAGCAUGCGGAUUAAUUCGAUGCAACGCGAAGAACCUUACCUGGGCUUGACAUGUUCCCGACGGUCGUAGAGAUACGGCUUCCCUUCGGGGCGGGUUCACAGGUGGUGCAUGGUCGUCGUCAGCUCGUGUCGUGAGAUGUUGGGUUAAGUCCCGCAACGAGCGCAACCCUCGCCCCGUGUUGCCAGCGGAUUAUGCCGGGAACUCACGGGGGACCGCCGGGGUUAACUCGGAGGAAGGUGGGGAUGACGUCAGAUCAUCAUGCCCCUUACGUCCAGGGCUUCACGCAUGCUACAAUGGCCGGUACAACGGGAUGCGACGCGGCGACGCGGAGCGGAUCCCUGAAAACCGGUCUCAGUUCGGAUCGCAGUCUGCAACUCGACUGCGUGAAGGCGGAGUCGCUAGUAAUCGCGAAUCAGCAACGUCGCGGUGAAUGCGUUCCCGGGCCUUGUACACACCGCCCGUCAAGUCAUGAAAGUGGGCAGCACCCGAAGCCGGUGGCCUAACCCCUUGUGGGAUGGAGCCGUCUAAGGUGAGGCUCGUGAUUGGGACUAAGUCGUAACAAGGUAGCCGUACCGGAAGGUGCGGCUG